rnacentral:lncRNA from 1 species
CCUGGCUCAAAAGCUCCCCUGCUGAGCACCUUGUGACCCCCUGCCCCUGCCAGCCAGAGAACAACCCCCUUUGACUGUAAUUUUCCUUUACCCAAACCCUAUAAAACAGCCCCACCCCUAUCUUCGGACUCAGCCCGCCUGCACCCAGGUGAAAUAAACAGCCUUGUUGAUCACACAAAGCCUGUUUGAUGGUCUCUUCACACUGACGUGAGUGAAAUUUUGGUGCCGUGACUCGGAUCUGGGGAGUCACAAUCCGAGAUCAAUCCCCUGUCCUCCUGCUCUUUGCUCCACCUACGACCUCGGGUCCUCAGACCAACCAGCCCAAGGAACAUCUCACCAGUUUUAAAUCCGGUCAUCCUUUCCCCAUGGCUGCAUAAAAUAGAUUGAAUCAAAUGGAGCCCAUCAUGCUGGCUGCUUCUCUCCGCUGGGGCCAGGAGCAGCCUGACUGCAGAGUCAGCUGAAGACAGACAGCAGUCAGAGUGCUGGCCUUCUCCUUCCAAAAACACAGCCGUUCAAGUUCACAGAGACUGAAGAAUACGAUAAACACAGAUAAACGUGCUUGACGGACAGACAACCGGGCAGUGAUCUGCUGGGUUCAGCCAAUGUGAUGAGCAGAAGUGGGAAGAAAUCAGUCUCCUGUGCGGAUAGAAUCAGGAAACCCGUCUAAUCCCACUCUUCUCCAUUCCAUUCUCCAUACCGAAACCAGUGUCAUCUUCAAUGAGAUAAAGCAUAUCUAUAUCACACCCCUGUUUACAAAAAACCAUCACUACUGUCUCCGCUGCAUUUGUCUUAAUCGCAUAAUCCGGCUCCUAGUUCUUGGGCCAGUUUUACCAUGUGCCAGUUCCCCCGAACCAGUUUCUCCCAUUGGAAGGUUUUGUCUCUCUGCACAGCUCUGACCUCUGCCUGUGUUGCUCUUUCCCCAGAGCCUUGCCUGGCUGACUUCUACUCCUCCCUCAUGUGGCAGGAAAUCUCACCUUUGCAGAAAGACCUUCCAUGCCAACCUACACAGCAAAGGUCUUCUCCCAGGCCAUGCCCCUUUCAACUCUCAGCUCCUCACUUGUUUUCAUCAUAACAAUUACCCCAAAUGAUAAUGAUGGUUUUUUUUUUUUUUUUUUUGAAACAGAGUCUUGUUCUGUUGCCCAGGCUGGAAUGCUGUGGCGUUAUCUUGGCUCACUGCAACCUCCCACUUCCUGGGUUCAAGCAAUUCUCGUGACUCAGCCACCUGAGUAGCUGGGAUUACAGGUGUGUACCACCAUGCUCAGAUAAUUUUUGUAUUUUUAGUAGAGUUGGGGUUUCAUCAUGUUGGCUAGGCAAUUACAGGCGUGAGCCACUGCGCCCAGUUACAAUGGAUCUUAUGUAUCUGACCACUUACCCGUUUUGUCCUUCCUUCCUAGUAGAAUUGGACUCCCAUGCAAGUGGAGACCCAGUCAGUCUUGUUCACUGCAAUCUCCCCAGGGCCUGCCACAUCUAAAAGACAUAUUUUCUGAUAAAUGAAUCAUAACAGUUG